rnacentral:misc_RNA from 1 species
GAUGAAGAACGUAGCGAAAUGCGAUAAGUAAUGUGAAUUGCAGAAUUCAGUGAAUCAUCGAAUCUUUGAACGCACAUUGCGCUCGCCAGUAUUCUGGCGGGCAUGCCUGUUCGAGCGUCAUUUCAACCAUCAAGCCCCCGGCUUGUGUUGGGGACCUGCGGCUGCCGCAGGCCCUGAAAACCAGUGGCGGGCUCGCUAGUCACUCCGAGCGUAGUAAUACAUCUCGCUCAGGGCGUGCUGCGGGUUCCGGCCGUUAAAAAGCCUUAUUUACCCAAGGUUGACCUCGGAUCAGGUAGGAAGACCCGCUGAACUUAAGCAUAUCAUAGCGGAGGA